rfam:Bacteroidetes bacterium GWF2_40_14 gwf2_scaffold_1914, whole genome shotgun sequence.
UUUACCGUGAGGUAUGCACUGAAGGCAGCGAGACUGCAAAAUCCGGUACUGACGAACAGGAAGGGUAUACGAGGCUAUAAAGCGAGGAUAAGCAAACCCGCCAUUGUAAAGUCCCAACCCCACAAGACGUUUUAUAGUAUAUACCACAGGCAUCGGAAGAAGGAAAAAAGC